rnacentral:misc_RNA from 1 species
AAGUCGUAACAAGGUUUCCGUAGGUGAACCUGCGGAAGGAUCAUUAUCUAUAACCGGGUGUGGCUGCGGCCUCCGGGGGCGUGGGCGUCGAGACGAUGCCCUCUCUUCCGGGUGGUAGAGGUAAAACUCUCACGCGCCACAUGUCUGAAUCCUUUUUUUACGAGCACCUUUCGUUCUCCUUCGGUGGGGUGACCUGCCGUUGGAACCCAUCAAAACUCUUUUUGCAUCUAGCAUUACCUGUUCUGAUACAAACAAUCGUUACAACUUUCAACAAUGGAUCUCUUGGCUCUG